rnacentral:rRNA from 1 species
AUUGAACGCUGGCGGCAUGCCUUACACAUGCAAGUCGAACGGCAGCACGGGUGCUUGCACCUGGUGGCGAGUGGCGAACGGGUGAGUAAUACAUCGGAACAUGUCCUGUAGUGGGGGAUAGCCCGGCGAAAGCCGGAUUAAUACCGCAUACGAUCCACGGAUGAAAGCGGGGGACCUUCGGGCCUCGCGCUAUAGGGUUGGCCGAUGGCUGAUUAGCUAGUUGGUGGGGUAAAGGCCUACCAAGGCGACGAUCAGUAGCUGGUCUGAGAGGACGACCAGCCACACUGGGACUGAGACACGGCCCAGACUCCUACGGGAGGCAGCAGUGGGGAAUUUUGGACAAUGGGCGAAAGCCUGAUCCAGCAAUGCCGCGUGUGUGAAGAAGGCCUUCGGGUUGUAAAGCACUUUUGUCCGGAAAGAAAUCCUUGACUCUAAUACAGUCGGGGGAUGACGGUACCGGAAGAAUAAGCACCGGCUAACUACG